AAUGGACUUUCCUUCUGAAGUACCCAGGAGAGUAGGAUGGACUUCUUCCUCUCUCCCUACACUAUCCCUUGGAGAAAACCUUUUAUCAAGAAGAUACCAAAUAUCAUCACUGAGGUGAAAUAGAGGAGAUGACAUGAAUGAGGGACUACAUUGGAAUGAAGAAGAACCUGGAGGAGGUAAAAAAACUGAAGGCUCCGGAUGUCGGACGAUGGAAAAUAAAAACAACAAGCAAGUGAAACUCCCUGACUUAUCAACCUUACUCAAGGAAAUCUAUGACGCAUAGAAGAUAAGUU
rnacentral:lncRNA from 1 species